AUUGAACGCUGGCGGAAUGCUUUACACAUGCAAGUCGAGCGGCAGCGCGGGGGCAACCCUGGCGGCGAGCGGCGAACGGGUGAGUAACAUAUCGGAACGUACCCCGUCGUGGGGGAGUAACACAGCGAAAGCUGUGCUAAUACCGCAUACGACCUGAGGGUGAAAGCGGGGGGAGUCGCAAGACCUCGCGCGAUGGGAGCGGCCGAUAUCGGAUUAGCUUGUUGGUGAGGUAAAGGCUCACCAAGGCGACGAUCCGUAGCUGGUCUGAGAGGACGACCAGCACACUGGAACUGAGACACGGUCCAGACUCCUA
rnacentral:rRNA from 1 species